rnacentral:lncRNA from 1 species
UCCGCCGCUCGCCGCCGCCGCCCCUCGGCCCGGUCUCCGCGCAGGAAAUGCUGCAACAAAAGGUCCUGCAGGCCAAAAAAGAAAGCUUACCCUCCAGAGAUAAGGGGAUCAAAGGGAACCUUCCCAGGCCUGUUGCCCCAAGGACCAGCUCCCCCGCCUUCUCCCUCCUUCUCUGCUGGACGCGCCCUCUCUGGUCCAUUGUGCACUUUUGUCUGCUUUUCCUGCCUGAAAAGGAGGAAGUGAGCCCGGACCCAGCCAGCACUCUGCCCUCCGCAGCUGCCUUUCAGCUCAGCUUUCCUAGAAGGGCUUUGACAGAUGGAAGAGGACUUGUGGAAACAGGCCCAAGCUGACUCAAAGAUGAGAUUGGAGAACGGCUCUCCCUUCCCCCACCAGAAGGGGGUUACUGAAGGUCAUCUCAUCCAUCCCCCUGCCUCCAUACACAGCUGGGUCAUCUGAGCAUAGGCUGUUCUGCAGACACUACCAAUGUCACCAAAGUGGGCUGGCAUCUUUCCCCCUUUCCACACCCUCUCACUACUGUUGCCUCCUCCACAUAGCCCCAGGGCAACCAUUUUAAAAGCCCAAUUAGAUCCUACCUAAAAUCUUUCAAUGGCUCCUAAUCAAGUAAUAAUUAAUACAGUCCAGAAUCUUUAGUAUGUCCCUGAAGAUCUCUUAUAAUCCCAUCAAUUCUUACCUCUUCAGCCACCUGUCCCAGCUCUCCCGUCCUCUGGCUUCACAGAAGCUGUUAGUUUCAGCUGGAAAUGCUUCCCCACCUACUGCUGUCUCUGCUUGGUGAACACAUCAAGAAGGCCAGUUGAUGGUGUGGGGAAGGAUCAUGUGCAGAAAUCACAAAAAUUAAGAUCAGGAUAGCUCUGUUGGAGGGGGGCUUUAGUGUUGGAACUGUAAACUGAUAACAAUAGGGAGCUAUUGAAAGUUCUUGAGCAAAGUAGUUGUCUUAGUCUACUAGGACUGCUGUAACAAAAUGCCAUAAACUGGGUGCUUAUAAACAAUAGAAAUUUAUUUUUCACAGUUCUGGAGGCUGGGAAGCUGAAGAUCAUGGCACCCACGAUUUGGUGUGUGGUGAGGGCCCAUUUUCUGGUUCCCAGACAACGGCCUUCUUCCUGUGUCCUCAAAUGGUAGGAGGGACAAGCUAGCUCCUGUGGGCCUCAUUUGUAACAGCACUAAUCCCAUUCCUGAGGGCUCCACGCCAAUGAUCUAAUCACCCCCCACAAGGCUCCACCUAAGACCUUGGAGGUUAUGAUUUCAACAUAUGAAUUUGGGAGGGACACAAAUGUUCAGACCGUAGCAGAAGUAAUUUCCUGAAUGUUGUUGGGGGAGGACACCAGCAGAAACAAACUGGAUUCACCUGUCCUUACUCCUCAGCUUUUGGAGUUAGUCUUCAGAAUAGAAGAACAAGGAGAAGGAGGAGGGGAAAGGAGAAUAGAAGGAACAGAAGGAGGAAGGGGGGAAGGGAGAAAGGUAAAAGGAAAAGAAAAAGAAUCUGUGUCCCUGGACCAAGGAAGAUUGGAAGCCGGGAGGGGGAACAUCCUUCUACCUCCUUAUCACUGUUGCCAACAAAAAGGAAGAUUAAACAGAAAUAGUAAAGUUCCUCCAUAAUGUAGCCCUCCCUCGGGGAGGGGAGAGAGCAAAAAACAAAACAAAACAAAAAAAACACUGAGAUAAGACUGACCUAGGAGUUAGACAAAUAAUUCCUCCGGAAUACAAAGACUUUACAAGGGUGAACAUAGCAGACGAGUCCUGUAGGGGCUUCGUCCUGAACACAGCUCUUUCUGCCCCAGCCCCAGGAGCACUGAGGUAAAAUAUGGGCUCAUGCAGUCACGGUCCUCUCACCCCACUCCAUGACUCAUUGAAAGUGAGCUGCUAGCUUCCUAUCCUGCCCAUCUUACUUCACAGCCGCUGUGCCCCAGCUUCUGGCCUUGUGCUAGGCACUAGGGACAUCCCUGACUAAUACUGUUCAGGAGAGACGCUCAGACUUGUGCACAGACAUUCACAGCACUGUGUCAGCAAGAAGUGCUGUCAUUGUGAUCCUGUUUUCUGAACCCCAAAUUGAAGCACGUAGCCCAGCUUGUACAAGUGCACUCAGGAGGACCACAAAACAGAAAGUUCAAAUCCAACCUAUGCUGACCACCCUGAGCCUGUGAAUUCUGGAGCUCUGACGGGCACAUAGAGAGCAACAAGGUUCAACUCAUACAACUGGACAUUCUCUUAUCGCCCUUGAUGAAGAGGGCAAUAUUUUAUUCCUAUUGUCAUCAUUGUUAUUAUUAUUCUGCUUUGGCAGAAGAGGCCCUUUGCCUUAGAGUCCUUCCUCCAUCACAUUCCUGGGGACAAAAAGGAAGAUCCUGUUUAUUUCCAAUCAAGGGAGUUGAUUCUGGGGUCGGCCAGAACCAGUGAAACAGGAACUGAUUCCUUAAAUCUUCCAACUGUGCAUUAGCAGCUGAGAGAAGAACAGGGCCAGUUAACCAAGUUUUGUUAGCAUUCCUAACUAUCCUUAGCUGUAUUUCUCUUCAGCCUGGCCUCAUUUCUUUCAGGCCCAGCCCCCGGGCAGGUUAAGAUGGUUGCUGUAAUUAAUCAUGCCGUGGGCCCUAAUUCAGACUCACCACAUUCAAAUUUCAAUUUAAAAAAAAAAAGGCGGGGUGUCUACUUAAGAAAUGCUCCGCUUAUGAAAUGCUCUUUGUUGCCGAAGCAGCCCCCUUUCAGCCUAAAGGAGAAAGUCUAGGAAGUGCAGGAAAGAAGAAAGGUUUCCAGGGCCCUCUUCAAAGUACUUGCACAUAUGUGAGGGGACUGAGGAUGAUCUGUGCUCCAAAGCCCCUCCAGUAUUUCCCAAUCAGAACAAACUGAAUUUUUAAAAAUAUAUAUUAAAUACCAUCAUAAUAUCUAGGAUGAGUGUUCAUUCCACAAAUGUUAAUUUAUUAUUCUCAGUGCCUCUAGUUUUCCUUCUCUUUUUUUUUAUUUUUAUUUUUUUGAGACAGGGUCCCAGGCUGGAGGGUAGUGGCGCAAUCAUAGCUCACCACAGCCUCGACCCCAGGGCUCAGGUGAUCCUCCUGCCUCACCCUCCCAAGUAGCUGGGACUACAGGCACUCACCACCACACCUGGCUAAUUUUUUUGUAUUUUUUGUAGAGAUGGGAUUUUGUCAUGUUGGCCAGGCUGGUCUUGAAUUCCUGGGGUCAAGCGACCUACCCACCUCAGCCUCCCAAAGUACUGGGGUUAUGGGCAUGAGUCACCGCACAUGGCUGUUUUCCUUCUCUUUAGGUCUUAAAAGGUUUUGUCAUUAUUUCUCUGUGAAAAUGCAAACAAUAGGACUGAGCAUGGUGGCUCAUACCUGUAAUCUAGCACUGAGACCAGCCUGGGCAACAUAGUAAGAUUCUCUUGCUAGAAAAAUAAAAAUAAAGUAAAAUGCAAACAUUAGUUGGCUGUGGAGAAUGGAGUGGGUUUGAGGAAGGUGGGAGUGGGAAAGGAGCUUCUGCUUUUCACUCCAUUUCUUCUGUGGUUUUGGUAACAUGCGUAUACUACUUUUAUAAUUAAAAACAAAAAAGGAGGAGAUUGGCACAGAAUAGAGAAUUUACCAUGAAAACUACUAUCUGCUAAUCUCUUAGUACUAUUUUAACAAAUCCUGAAAACAGCAAUGAGAAACAAAUCUUAUUUCCCAUUUUACCUGGAACUCGCCGCAACUCCAAGUCCUUGGCUGGGCAUGGGAGGCAAGUCAUCGCUGACUUGGAGGAGGGGGGCUCACGUUGGACCUUCAAGAGGGAAAGAGAACCCACCCAACUGUCUAUUUCCAGUGGGAGCACCUUUCCAGAAUCCCAGCUUGACUUGGAGAGGUUCUGCCACUUGGAAGUUGGGGAAGGGUUCCUCCCACCCUCAAUUAAAAUACAUAGAACUUGGUAGUCAGUUCAUUAAGGUGGUCCCCUAGUAUCUGUAUUUUUCUCAAGUACUCCCAAAAUAAUUUGGAUUUAUGAUCAUCCAAAACUCACUGCUUUAGAAAUCAUCUACUCCAAUUACUGAUGAGGGAAACUGAGGCUUAAAGGGCAGAAGGGACUUGCCCAAGGUCACCCAGCAAAUAAGCAGGUGACCCCAGGCCAGAAAAGAAAACAGGACUCCUCCUAUGUCCCACUAAAAACAGGAUAAGGAGGCUGAGAGGAGCACCUGAAAGAUGCCAUUUCACAUCUAAUCACUUCUUGUCACGUUGCAACCAUUUUCCUCAUAUGGAGCCUCACGCUGAUAGAUCAGAAAUAACAUUUUGAAAGUUAUGUCUGCAAGGAAAUGGCUAUUAAUGUUCUUCCUCUCCUUUUAGAGCAUCAAGGAAUACAUAUUAAUUUUCUCUCUACUUACAUUGCCUAUUUGCAAAUUGUAUUCACUACUCAGUGCUCCAAUUUGUCCCACCCCUGAAGAGAUUAUGAUGAAUAAAUGUGUUCCUGGAAAUAAAAA